GCCGUAUUUACACAAAAAUCCUAAAUGUCACAAACAGCUGGUUACACCAAAAAAAUUUAACAACAGAAGAGAUUUAAGAAUUUUUUGUUUUUCGUUUACGUGGAAUUGUUAACUUUCUGUACAGUUUUUCUCUAAAAUUAAUAAAAUAUAAUAAGUUUUUAAAUAAAAAACCCCACAAUAAUAUACUUUUCAAAAUGAUUGAAGUAACAGAUUUACAAAAAAUUGGUAUUGGUUUAUCGGGCAUGGGCAUAGGUUUUCUAUUCCUGGGUGUACUAUUUCUAUUCGACAAAGGUUUACUGGCCAUAGGAAAUAUUCUUUUCUUAUCUGGCUUGGGUUGUGUUAUCGGUUUGGAACGCACAUUUCGUUUCUUUUUCCAACGUCAUAAAAUUAAAGGUUCUAUAGCAUUCUUCGGUGGCAUUUUUGUGGUUCUAUGCGGUUUUCCCAUCAUAGGCAUGGUUAUAGAAUCCUAUGGUUUCUUUGCCUUGUUUAGCGGUUUCUUCCCAGUGGCCAUAAGUUUCCUAAGCCGUGUACCCAUUUUGGGUUCACUCAUCAAUACACCAUUUAUGCAAAAGCUCGUUGAAAAACUUGGUGGUGAUGCUAAUCGAACGAGGGUAUAGUUUUAAUAUAAUAUUGUUUUCUAAUUAUAAUUUCUCAUCUAAGGAUUUAUAUCAAUAUAAAACUUUAUAGUUUAAAUUUACUUUAAAUUAACUUAACUCAAGAGAAAACAAAACAAAAAAUAUUUCUUAUAGAAAAAUAAUCGAAAAAAAAGAAAAACGUUUUCGUUUUUUAAACAAAUUUUUCUAUAACAACUUUAAAACAAAAAACACUUUUUGUAUGUGAACAGAUUCCACUAUGACAUGAAAAUACCCGACCUAACGAUGAUGAGUGAACACAUAAUUUGAAAACACACAUUUGUAUUUGCGCACCCGAUUGUAAUAAAGGCGAUGGUGUAUGAUGUACAAACUCUAAUUGUAAAGAAUCUUAAGAAAAAAUAACAAAUAAAAUUAAAAUAAAUAUAAUUCAUAAAAACAUUAA